UACGGAGGGUGCAAGCGUUAUCCGGAAUCACUGGGCGUAAAGCGCACGUAGGCGGAUCUUUAAGUCAGGGGUGAAAUCCUGGAGCUCAACUCCAGAACUGCCUUUGAUACUGGGGAUCUCGAGUCCGGGAGAGGUGAGUGGAACUGCGAGUGUAGAGGUGAAAUUCGUAGAUAUUCGCAAGAACACCAGUGGCGAAGGCGGCUCACUGGCCCGGUACUGACGCUGAGGUGCGAAAGCGUGGGGAGCAAACAGG
rnacentral:rRNA from 1 species